rnacentral:lncRNA from 1 species
UGAGUAAUCAGUCAAUUUAGUCCCUAAACUAUCACUCUCUCACCAACUUAGUCCCUAAACUAUUAAAACCAACUAAAAAGUCCCUAAACUAUAUUCACAUCCUUCAAUUUAGUCCCUAAACUNNNNNNNNNNNNNNNNCUAUCUUUAAAAACAACAAAAUAGUAACAACACUGCUAAAUCAUUACUGCUAAAUCAAAUUCAUUUUUAACAUAAUUCAUUACUGCUAAAUCAUCCUUUGUCUCGUUCACUACCUAGUAACAAUACAAAUUCGUUCACUACCUAGUAACAACACAAAUUCAUUACUGCUAAACCAAAUGAAACAUUACUGCUAAAUCAACAAAAACCAAAAAACAAACUUAACCAUAAUUUAAACCAUAAACCAUAAUCUUCAUUACAUAAAUCAACUAAACCAUAAUCCAUCAAAUUCAUUACAUAAGUCAACAAAUCCAUUAUCAAUCAAAAGAACUAACUAAAUCACAAUCCAUAGUUAACUAAAGAACAAUAUUAAUCAUAAACCAUAAUUUCAUUACUAGAAAACUAGCAUGCAUCAUUACAAAAAACCAAAUAUUAUAAGCAACAAUCAAACAAAAGCACUAAGUAGAAGGUCCUUCAUU